CUCCAGUUGCUGAGGUGAACACCAUGUCCCACGAGGAGACAGGGAGAGGAGAGAUAUACAUGUCAUACAAUCAGAGAAUGGUUUGGAUUGGAAGGGACCUUGAAGAUCAUCUAGUUCCAGCCCCCACUCUGGACUGUCUCCCUCCUUGCUGUUGUUCUCCCAGCCCAUCUCUGCCACAAAGAGUGGACAAAUCUAGAGAUGGUGGAGACACUGCUGGAAAAAUCAACAGUCUGAAUCUGAAAAGCCAAGACAGGAGGCCUGCGCAGAUGCUCUUCACUCUUGUGAACAUGUUUCAAGUACCACCUUUUUGUGUUCAAAGCCAUCAAGUCAGCCACAUGUUCACUGAGUUGUAUCUCCUCUUCUGUCUCUCCGUGCUACCCCGGAGCAUGCAAACACAGGAGGCUCCUGAAGCAUAGCUGGGAAGGUGCUGGGCACCCCCACAGGGCGCAGCCUGCCAUCUGUUGCCCUGCUCAUUUUCACCACCCAGCCAAGAGACAGAUGAAGCAGAGCUCCUGCAAACUUCUGCUGAAGUGACAGUAAAGGAAGAUGCUUGAAAAAAGCCAUCAACUCCUGGCAGGGACAGAAGAAAGAGGAGAGCCCUGGUGAACCAACGGUGGUUUUUUAAAAUAUAAAAUAAUAUACUUCA